GUACUGAUGAAGAGUCCCAAAGCUAGGACGAAACGGCUGUCUAGUAC
rnacentral:hammerhead_ribozyme from 1 species